rnacentral:tRNA from 2 species
GGAGAGGUGGCUGAGUGGUCGAAAGCGGCGGUCUUGAAAACCGUUGGUCCGAAAGGUCCCGGGGGUUCGAAUCCCUCCCUCUCCGCCA